rnacentral:rRNA from 1 species
AGAGGGUGAGAGCCCCGUCUGGCUGGCCACCGAGCCUCUGUAAAGCUCCUUCGACGAGUCGAGUAGUUUGGGAAUGCUGCUCAAAAUGGGAGGUAUAUGUCUUCUAAAGCUAAAUAUUGGCCAGAGACCGAUAGCGCACAAGUAGAGUGAUCGAAAGAUGAAAAGCACCUUGAAAAGAGGGUUAAAUAGUACGUGAAAUUGUUGAAAGGGAAGCGCUUGUGACCAGACUUGGGCGCGGCGGAUCAUCCGGGGUUCUCUCCGGUGCACUUCGCCGCGUCUAGGCCAGCAUCAGUUCGUCGCGGGGGAAAAAGGUUUCGGGAACGUGGCUCCUCCGGGAGUGUUAUAGCCCGUUGCAUAAUACCCUGCGGUGGACUGAGGACCGCGCAUCUGCAAGGAUGCUGGCGUAAUGGUCACCAGCGACC